UUGUUACCCUUCACACCCAACCUUAGCCAUGCUUGACACAUGAAAUUCCUUGGCCCAGCAGCAAGCUUGUAAAUUGGACCAUACUCUUUCAUUCAUUUAAACAAAGGAAGAAACAAAGCACCACAAUCUCAAACACAUUCUGAAGCUUAGCAAUGGCUAUGGGAAUGCCUGAAUUGUUGUUUUGACCUAACGUGAGGGUCAGAGUGAGGGAAGUGAGCCUGUUUGGGUUGACCCAAGAACUGUAUUUAGCAGUAUUUGAAUUGGGAUGCGGUGUUUUAUUGUCUAGAGAGUUGAUUCCAAUUGAUUAUGGCCUUUUCUUGUUAAAAACAUGGGAGGAUACUUUAAGUUUAUCCAUUGGCCUCAAGCUUCAAUUGCAUUCUUAGAUGAUGAGCUUGAUUAUUUAGAACAACUUAAUUUUAGAAGAUAUUGUGAUAUGCUAUGAAAGCUCCCUAUGAUUAGAAGGGUCUGUGGGUCUUGGUUCUCUAUCCAAUUUUUCUCCAGGAAAUAGUUGUUGUUGGUCUCUGUCUUGCUGAACUUGGUGAGAUGAUGAGCAAGGAAUUUCAUGCUGGGGAGGAGUAGGGAGCUUGAGGGAAAAGUAAUGGUAAUAGAUUGUGUAUUUUGGGGGAUGAGGAAG
rnacentral:misc_RNA from 1 species